GUCAUUGGUUGACUCCCCGUGCUGCUUUGAGCACGAUUGGUUAAUCUGACUGUCAUUCAGGAAACUAGCCAAUUAGAGCUGUUCGCGCCCUUCACUGGUUCAUUUUGAACAUACGCGAUGAGGUGAUGUCUGUCAGUUAGUUUCAGUAGUCUUGAUGGUCCAGUUAUAUGUAAACAGCGCUUAAGACACGAAGUCGUGUGGGAGUUGCAGGCUGCUGGAGAAUAAUCACACGCAUUAACAGCUUUACCAGCGACCAGCAGAAGUACACAGAAAUAUAUGAUAAGAUUUGCCUGGGCAGUACACACACCUGAUGAAGGGAAGAAAAGCUACCCAGGCACCCAAACUCCAUCAGUAGUAAGUGUUUAAACAUUCGACCUGAGUAUUUGUAUUAUGUUGUUAUUAACAAAUGUGUAAUAUUAUGUAUGCUUAAUACUGUUAUAAUGUAACUCUGUAACCGUUUGGGUUACGUAUUUCUUGGGUUAAAACAUAACACAAUAAGGGACUUUUUAUUAACUCUUACAAUAACAAUCACGUACAGUUAAACAUUUACAUCAUUUGUGAAAGAAAAAUUGUCCAUUCCUUUAAACUGGUGACUUGUUUUGCUGAUUUAAUGGUGGAAGUUAUAAGACUUACAUUUAAGUUAGCAUUGUAACUUGUUUUCUAACAGUAUACUCUGUAUUCACAUUGCCGUAAUGUAUAAUGAUGGCAGAUUUAGUCCUUUAUCUAACGUUACUACAUUGCAUAUUUGCCACAGACUCAUUUACUUUUUUGUGGUAUGUUUUUACUUAUGGUAUGAUUUACUUAUUCUGACAGUUUGAUGUUUGUCCAAAUAUACUAUCAAAACUUCCUCCGAUACCUUUUUGUGACCCUGUGUAAAUGUUUUCAACACCACUUGAAACUGUUGUAUUUCUCCAGGAUUAAAAGUUUGUUUUAUAAGAAUUUGAUGAAUGUAUUGUAUGGGGAUGUACUUAUUAUUUAUUUAUUAUAUUCAACCAUUUGUUUAAAGCGUAUACUGUAAUUCUGUACUGUAAAGAAGUUAAUCAUUGUGUAUUUCGAGUGUACAUUUACAAAUUAUGGUGAUUGUGUUCAUAUGAUUCAUAUGUUUACC